UACGAAGGGGGCUAGCGUUGCUCGGAAUCACUGGGCGUAAAGGGUGCGUAGGCGGGUUUUUAAGUCAGAGGUGAAAUCCUGGAGCUCAACUCCAGAACUGCCUUUGAUACUGGGAAUCUUGAGUAUGGAAGAGGUGAGUGGAACUGCGAGUGUAGAGGUGGAAUUCGUAGAUAUUCGCAAGAACACCAGUGGCGAAGGCGGCUCACUGGCCCGAUACUGACGCUGAGGCACGAAAGCGUGGGGAGCAAACAGG
rnacentral:rRNA from 1 species